GCCGCGGACGGCUGGGGCCCGGGGCGCGGGGGGCCCAGCCGCGGUGCCCUCCUCGAGCCCUCCGCGCGCUAGCGCUUUUACCUCCGGCCUGGGGGACGCGCGGCCCGCGACCCGGCCCUGCCUGUCCCCGGCGCACGGCCCCGGCCCCGGCCCCGAAGUCCAGCUCCGGACGGGGCAGUGAACGCAGAGCUGGGGUCCCGGCGGCUCUCGACCUCCCGAUGCCUCCGGACUCGGCUGGCCGCGCUCCCGGCGCCGAGCGCGCACCCUCGCCGGGACACACAGACGCACACUCACUCGACACACUCUCGCUCCUGCUCGCCCUCGGCGGAGAGUUGAAACAGAUGUGGGAUUCGCCCAGGAGCUGGAAACGAGGGAGGGAAGCGAGCCAGAGCCUUGUGUGCACGUGUGUGACUCGCCCCGGUCUGCAAACACUCGACUGCCUUUGCCGAAAGCCUCGCGCUCGCCUCCAGCCACACACAUUUGCCAUUGGAGAGGCCGGCGCCGGCCGCGACCCGCAGCUCAAUCGCAGGGCAAACCGAGCUGCCUGUGCGCGCCCGAGAACUCCCCGAGAAAUUAACUUCGGCUCAAGUGAAAAUAGCAGCUGUUGUCCAGAAAUGGCCCGGGAGUAGCAUAGAAAGGAGAAACCGGCUUCCUCCGAAAGGGGAGGAAUUGGACUCAAGGGGGUGCUGUCUACCGUGGUUUCCGCUGUCCCUCGCGCCACAGAAGAGGCCGGAGGGGGACCGGCCUGACGCGGGUGGGCAAAGAGCGGGCAGAGAACUCACCAGCAGCUGCAGAAAACACAGCCGAGUUGCUAGCUAAGGGGAAACAGACGCCGCUGUGGGAAAGCACUUGUAAACAGCAGUAACUUAUUAAAUCUUGUGACAAUCUCA